rnacentral:rRNA from 1 species
UGUAAAGGGAAAGAACCAACAAGGGAUUGCCUCAGUAACGGCGAGUGAAGCGGCAAAGAGCUCAAAUUUGAAAGCUGGCCCCUUCGGGGUCCGCAUUGUAAUUUGCAGAGGAUGCUUCGGGAGCGGCCCCCAUCUAAGUGCCCUGGAACGGGCCGUCAUAGAGGGUGAGAAUCCCGUCUGGGAUGGGGUGCCCGCGCCCGUGUGAAGCUCCUUCGACGAGUCGAGUUGUUUGGGAAUGCAGCUCUAAAUGGGUGGUAAAUUUCAUCUAAAGCUAAAUACUGGCCGGAGACCGAUAGCGCACAAGUAGAGUGAUCGAAAGAUGAAAAGCACUUUGAAAAGAGAGUUAAACAGCACGUGAAAUUGUUGAAAGGGAAGCGCUUGCGACCAGACUCGCUCGCGGGGUUCAGCCGGCCUUCGGGCCGGUGUACUUCCCCGCGGGCGGGCU